rnacentral:rRNA from 1 species
GCGCUCCUUAGCCAUGUUUGGAGAGCAGCAAACGGCUCCGUAACACGUAGUUAAUCUGCCCUUAGGACAGUUAUAACCCUGGGAAACUGGGGCUAAUGCUUGAUAGACGAAAACGCCUGGAAUGGUCUUUCGUCUAAAAGUUUUUGGAAACAUGCUUCUGAAAAUGCCUAAGGAUGAGACUGCGGCCGAUCAGGCUGUUGGCGGGGUAACGGCUCACCAAACCUAUUACCGGUACGGGCUCUGAAAGGAGUAGCCCGGAGAUGGGAACUGAGACAAGGUCCCAGGCCCUACGGGACGCAGCAGGCGCGAAAACUCCACAAUGCGCGAAAGCGUGAUGGGGCUAUCCCGAGUGCCGUCCGCUGAGGACUGCUUUUCCAUGCUGUAAGGAGGCGUGGGAAUAAGGAGAGGGCAAGCCUGGUGUCAGCCGCCGCGGUAAUACCAGCUCUCCGAGUGGUGGGGAUGUUUAUUGGGCUUAAAGCGUCCGUAGCCAGCUCUUCAAGUCUUUUGUUAAAUCCAACGAUUCAAUCGUUGGGCUGCGGGAGAUACUGUUGAGCUAGGAGGCGGGAGAAGUCGACGGUAUUUCCGGGGUAGGAGUGAAAUCCUAUAAUCCCGGGAGGACCACCAGUGGCGAAGGCGGUCGACUAGAACGCGCUCGACGGUGAGGGACGAAAGCUGGGGGAGCGAACCGGAUUAGAUACCCGGGUAGUCCCAGCUGUAAACGAUGCGGGCUAGGUGUUAGGGUGGCUACGAGCCACUCUAGUGCCGCAGGGAAACUGUUAAGCCCGCCGCCUGGGGGAGU